GACGAACGCUGGCGGCGUGCUUAACACAUGCAAGUCGAACGGAAAGGCCCUGCUUUUGUGGGGUGCUCGAGUGGCGAACGGGUGAGUAACACGUGAGUAACCUGUCCUUGACUUUGGGAUAACUUCAGGAAACUGGGGCUAAUACCGGAUAGGAGCUCCUGCUGCAUGGUGGGGGUUGGAAAGUUUCGGCGGUUGGGGAUGGACUCGCGGCUUAUCAGCUUGUUGGUGGGGUAGUGGCUUACCAAGGCUUUGACGGGCAGCCGGCCUGAGAGGGUGACCGGCCACAUUGGGACUGAGAUACGGCCGAGACUCCUACGGGAGGCAGCAGUGGGGAAUAUUGCACAAUGGGCGGAAGCCUAAUGCAGCAACGCCGCGUGCGGGAUAACGGCCUUCGGGUUGUAAACCGCUUUCGCCUGUGACGAAGCGUGAGUGACGGUAAUGGGUAAAGAAGCACCGGCUAACUACGUG
rnacentral:rRNA from 1 species